CCUACGGGUGGCUGCAGUGAGGAAUAUUGGUCAAUGGACGCAAGCCUGAACCAGCCAAGCCGCGUGCAGGAAGACGGCUCUAUGUGUUGUAAACUUCUUUUGUACGAGGGUAAAGGCAGAUACGCGUCUCUGUCUGAAAGUACCUUACGAAUAAGGAUCGGCUAACUCCGUGCCAGCAGCCGCGGUAAUACGGAGGAUUCAAGCGUUAUCCGGAUUUAUUGGGUUUAAAGGGUGCGUAGGCGGUUGGUUAAGUCAGGGGUGAAAUCCCGAGGCUCAACCUCGGAAUUGCCUCUGAUACUGGCAGGCUAGAGUGGAGUUGCGGUAGGCGGAAUGCGUGGUGUAGCGGUGAAAUGCUUAGAGAUCGCGCAGAACUCCGAUUGCGAAGGCAGCUUACCAAGCU
rnacentral:rRNA from 1 species